rnacentral:lncRNA from 1 species
UUUUUUUUUUUUUAAAUCCCUAUAUCUGAAUUUAUUUUCCCUGUUUUAAUUACAAGGAUCCCUUACAAUUAUCCUAGCCAAGAGAUCGGCAAGGAACAAGUGCCCCUGUAUUCAGUUUUUGCAAUGGAUAGCACUUUGUACCCUUUCGGCUUGAAGCUCCCCCACCACGCAGCCGGUUUCCGGUGUGAAUAUCCAAGAUGUCGCAGCCUCUCUGGCUGGCUGCCCUGGUCGCCAUCUCCCGGGCUCAGAUGUCUACGGUGCAGCACAUUAGCCAAGCAGUGGUACCGCUGAUCCGGUAUGGUGAUCUCCUUCCCCUGGACCCAUCGCGGCCUGGGCCGCAAAGCCAGGAUGGAUUCAACAGCACGUUGCCUGUGCUGGUGAGAGUGCAGGGCUUGCCGCGACGUGGGACGCAGCUAAGCGCCGAGAGGCAGCUGGAGGUGGACACUGCCCUGGAGGAGGCGAUGCUGGCUGGCCCCUGGGAGCCUGCCCAGGGGGUACAGAGUGGGGAACUCAGGGAGGCGGGUGUGGGGGCAAUUGGCUAAGCAGGGGC